CCGCUCCUCUCAGCCUCCCAAAGUGCUGAGAUUACAGGCGUGAGCCACCAUGCCCAUCUGUUUAAAACAUUUCUGAGAACAGUACCUGAUCUACCAGGCAAUCUGGGUCACCAAAAUCCUAAUAUAGUUUUGGUAUUACCUAAGGUGCCAGACACUGGCUUUACCCACAGACAUUCUGAUUUAAUUGAUGUAGGACGUGGCCUGGGCAUUGAGUUUCUUUAAAGCUCCCAGGUAAUUAUAAUGUGCCUCCAAGUUUGGGAAGCACUGGUUUAGAAGCUUCCUGUUCCUUAAGGAUAUAGCCAACUCUGGAAAAACAGGCUGGCGCUGGGUGGUUAGGAGUCUUCUGGGACCACGUUUGGACUUUGGGAAUUUGGAGUUUAUUCUCUAGGCAAUGAAGUACAAUGAAAAGUCUUUAAAAGGGGAAGUGACAUCAAAGUUUCAGAAAGGUAAUUCUGGCUACAAUUUAGAAAAUUGGAAAGGCUGGACACAGGGUAAUUGUUAGGAGGAAGAGAUGACACCGAGGGCCUACAUGAGACUGGGAUGGUGGCACUCUGAUGCUAGGUAGCAGCGGAAACCCUGGCACACGGGUGGAAAAAGAGUAAGCAACUAAAAAUGUUCUGCUUCUGCUGGUUUUCAGCUUUGAAAUUUAAUUGUGGCCUCGUUAGUAAUCAUAUAAAGAAUUCCGUUAGUACUUUUUAGCUUGGCUGUAAAUGGGGACAGCCCCUUCAAGAACGCUCAAGCAUUUAUGGGUUUCAGAAUGAUACAAGAUAACUGAUCACCCUUAAAAAAUAAAAGAACUCAGUUAGCUUUUACAGCUACCCAGUUAAUUUUGGUAAUGUAGAUCAUUAAGCUUCCAGAUAGAGUUUUUCACAGGGAGUGAGGGGAGAAGAGAUGGUCUGGCUACUUAGGAUCCAAUUACCUGGAUAAUUGCCAGAUACCCACUAAACAUGGUGAUGUAAGCAUGGUUUCAGUCAAUGUAUCUUUUUUCUGUUUUUUUUUUUUCUGACCUAAUGCCUCUACUGAUAAAAAUAUUUUUACUAUUAUUGGUUCUGUGGAACUAGUAUGACUGUGAUAGUGAGAGGACUGCAUUCCAUUUGCCUUGUGCUCCAUCAGAGUCAGCUGUCGGUGUGUCCUCAUGCCAGACUCAUUGUAAUUAGGAAGGAGACAGAAGAGGCAAGAAGAGCCCAGCGGGAGGCUCCCAUUUUGGCUUGAAGGCAGUAGCACCACAAAUUAGAAAAACCAUUGCUUGCCUUCUACACGGACUCAACACAAUACUAUUGUGUCUACCAAUGGGAGGUUCUGAAUAUUUUUUUAAAACCUUUGAAAACAUAAAAACCAUUCUUAGCUCAAGGGACACAGGAAAACAGGCCACAGGCCAGAGGUUGCAGACGCGUGGUCUAAACAAUUAACAGAACAAUAAAUCAAGCCCGGAUAUGUCACAUUUGCUGACCUCCCUGUUGUAAAUACUCUCACAAUGACUUGAUUCGAGAAUGUCCACGUAAACACUGCUGCGAGGGGAGCUAGGGAGAGUUGAGCAGUGGUUUACCGUGGUGUGCUCUUUCCACCACGCGGAUAGCAUAGGCUGACAUGUAUGAUAAGCAACCUUGAGAGCAAAGGGAAUGCAUUGCACCAUGAAUAUGGAGAGUGAGCUUUAAAAUAGUAUGAAAGACAAAUGUUUAAAGGUAUACAUUUCUUUCAGAGAACUUUUUCUCUCUCUUUCUCUCUCUGACAGUGUGUGUGUAUCUCCUGUGUCUCUCUUUCCCUCUCUCACAUGCACACAUAAGUGCACACACACACUUCUCUUGGAAACUGAAGGAGGCAAGAAUAUGAUGCCAUUAACAAAUGCUCUUUGGUGGACAGCAAUAAUAACAACUGCUAACUUUCACUGAGGACUACUUAUGUGCCAGAUACCAUGUGAAGCGCUUUGCUUGUAUUAGAUCAUCGAAACCUCAGAAAAACUCUAUAAAGUGGGUGCUAAUAUUUUCUAGAUUUUUCAGAUACAAUACUGAGGAUCAGGGAGAUUGAAUAAGUUGUCCAGUGUCACCCCUGGUAGCUGAGAGAGCUGGUUUGGAUGCCUAGGGCUGUUUGUCUCCAAACCUGUGCCUUGCACCCUUAGCUCUGGUUCCUCCCCUCUCAUGUCAUGUAAUCAGCACAAAUUUCCUGAAGUAAGGCUGCAUGCAUAUAACAAGAAUAAAGGAAUAAAAAUAGAGGAUGCCGUGGAAUGGGAGAAAGUGGACUACUUACGGCAGCAGAGGAGACAGUAGGAAAGGAGAACUCUAGAUGCUGUAAAGCUUCCUGGGACUAUAAGUACACUUGGCUACAACAAAAUGGUUGAGCAGGAAAGAAGGGAAGACAGAAGGGCUGAUUUGGUGGAGGGCCAUGGGAGGAAUAAAAUUAGACAUCAUAGCUACAGAAUAGAAGCACUGAAAUUGCACCAAAUCCAUAGACUCUCAGGAGUGGAGGAGAUUUGAACGCCAUCUGCCUAAUACAUAAAUUUGCUCUGCAUCUUGACAAGGUGGUGGUUCAGCCUCCUUGAAUGCCCUUGGCCAUGAAGAACUCAUUAGCUCCUCUCAACAGAUGGUGAAUUAGAAAGUUCUUCCCUGUAUGGAACCCAUAUUUGCCUACCAGUAACUUCUGCUCAGUGGCCAGGAACUGACUUCUUGGGGCCAUACAUGAAAAGUCUUUCAUAGAAUAGUUUCCAGGGACAAGCAUGGUCCUAUCAGCACCAACGUUAGAACUAAAAUAAAAUACAAAAUAAAAUGGAUCCUGUCUAUGGAGAGGCUGUGACACAGAGAGGUUAAGCACGUAGACUCUGGACCUAGACUUCCUGGGAUCAAAUCUCUACUCCACCGAGUAUUUCCUGUAUGAUGCAGGGAAUAUUUCUGUAUGAUGCAGGGAACCUUGUAUAAGUUACUUACCUUCCUGUAGCUCUGUUUUCUCGAUUGUAAAAGGCUGUGAUGAUGAUGAAAUAAACCAGUGCAUAUACAAAUACUGAGAACAGUGUGUGGCAAGUAGUGAAUAAUAAACAUUAGUUUUUAUUUAAAAGUUGGAAUCAUCAGUCUUUCUCUAAGUUUCCGUUAGAUACUCUGUAGUGUGUCAGUCCUUCUGCCUUCUGUGUUUGGCGCUGAGGAUGACCGUGGUCAUGGAUGUGUGUUCUCUCAUGUCUGUUAAAACCGUUCUCCCAGAGGUAGGAGGAGUAAUAGGAUCAUAGACCAUUUGGACUGGAGGCAUGUCUUAUGUUACAAGUACCUGAGUGAGAACUGAGGCCCCAUGAGUGGAAAUGACUUGCUCAGUAAUCUUAAGGGGCUUUUUCCAAAAGGGCAGGGGGCAGGGAAGGAGAGACUCCUGACACAGUCCUGGGAACCUGCAUUCUAUCGGAAAGCCAGUUGUCAUUCGUGGGGCCAAUAUGUUGAUGCUGCAUUUAUAAAUUUUUAAAAAUUGAGGUGUGAUUCAUUUCACAUAAAAUUAACCUGUGUACAAUGUGAAAUCCAGAGCUAUGUAACACAUCCGCAAUAUACACCAUCACCACUAACUUUUUCAUUAGUCCCGAAGGAAACCCUGUACCCAUUAAGAAGACACUCCCUAUUCCCGCCUCACCCAGGGCCCUGGCAGCCACCGCUCUGCUUUCUGUCUCCGUGGAUUUACCUAUUCUGUAUUUUUCACAGAAAUGGAAUCAUGCACUAGGUGAACUUUAGUGUCUGGCUUCUUUCACUUAGCAUAAUGUUUUCGAGGUUCAUCCACAUUGUAGCAUAAAUCAAUAUUUCAUUCCUUUUUAUGGCUUUUACGUUGCACUUUGGUUAAAGAAUUUUGUUGCCUUUGUCUCUCACCACUCCCGAAGUGAGGCUAACUGACUGUGACACAGUUUUCUGUUUCUUUCCACCCCACAACUUGGUCAUUAGUAAGGGGCUAACACUGUGGUUCUAUUAUUUACAGAAAACUUGUUUCUGGUUUCUCGGGUCAGGAGACCAACAGCAGAGAAAGUCUAGCUGCUGCUAUGCUGGUGGGACCUGCUCUGUUAGGUUCCCUGCCUGUCACUGCUCUUGUGCCCAGGUGUUUGUGAGGGCAUGAAGAAGGAAGGGACUUCAAGGGCUGGGCGAUUUGGCCCCACCAUGAUACCUGGGUGUUGCACAGAGCCCACAUGGCAGUGGAGAGGCUAUCUCUUAUCAGCACCUUUGCUGUCAGCUUCUUGUCACAACCUCAAGCCUGACAGGGGAACCACACUGAUAGGUGGGCCCUCUGGGUCUUGGCAACAAUGUCAUAACGCGGAUUACCAGAGCAAUAUGUCACAGUGUCAUUUUGCAAUGUUGAGGUGUUCCAUUUGUUAAUGAGGUGAAUUUCUUGUCUAUAAACAUGAACAUCUGAACUGUAGAGGAGAGAUUAAAAAAAUAAAAUCACCAUAUUAAUCAGGCCCAAUAAUUCCUUUUUUAAGCUUGGAUCCAAUGCUGAGGAAUCUCUGGCAUCCUUCCUUGGAAUCAAUUACAGUCAAUUUCUUCACAUUUUACAUCAGUUAAAGGAACAUUGUCAAGAUAAAAUCUUGCCCAACAUAGUUUUUUUUUUUGUUUUAAUUUCCUUACUCUCAUAAACCAAGACCUUCUUAGGUUACUUUGCCAAUAAUGAAUUUUUAGAGCCAAAUCCCUGGUUUGUCUUUAUUUGGGCUGUGCUGAGGAAGUAGCAUCUUCCUUCCCCUUGGUUCACAUGUUGCAGUGGGCUGCUCCACGGCUCUCAGAUGUGCCCUUGGGGCUGCAUUUUGUCCACACAGGGGCCUGUGUUCUAGUUCCUUAGGUGCGUGUGAAGUUGUGUCUGCCUUGCUGAUGGGGUUAUUUGUGCUAAUCUUUCUGGAGCCCGGGCACAGGCCACAGCAGGGCAGAGAUGCCUGGAAGGGGUCAGGACUGGGUGCCAGCAUCCUCUUGGGCCGUAAAGUUAGGCAGGCAUGAGGCCACAUUCCACAGGCCUGAAGGAGCAGGGAGCUUGGGCUCAGGGAACUUAGUUGAGGCAGAAAGGCUCAAAAGUCACCUGAGGUGAGGCAGGUGGAAGCUGGAGACCCAGCAACAAGUUGGGAACAUUACCCAUGAGUUUAGUUCAUAAGACAGAGGCAAGCUUUGUCCUGACAUCUUUGCCUUCUCCUUUGUCCUAUGUUAGGCAAGAACUCACAGGUGUGUGCUGCUAGAAGGCAAGACAGGUCUCUACAGGUUCAACUUACCCAUAAUUAAGGAUGGACAGCAGCCUAGACCUCUCAGUGGUUUCCUAAUGUGAGUUGCUGACAAUAGAUUUUGUUCUUUUGUAGUAAAGGCACCCAGAGACUUGCUGCCUAAGUGCCCAUGGGCAUCCUUGGUUCUUGCCUACCAGGCAGACCCUCUCCUCCUCAUCCGAAUUGGAGGGUCCAAUCACUCUCUUGGGGGUCCAACCUGGAUUUUGUCUUUCUCAGCAUUGUGGUCUCAGUACGGAGAAACCAAAACUCGUGGCACUCAAGAGCUUGUUCACUCUUCUCUUCUCCAAACCCUCUGGUGUCCAAGUGAGUUUGGACUAAGUGGGAGGCCAGAUUCAUUGGCACACAAGUGGCAGCACGGUGAAUGGGGGGCUGUGCUGUGUUCUUCAGGCUCAACCUUCCAGAAGACAAUGCGUGCCUGUCUCCUCUGCUGCAUUCCUUGUCCCAUGUCUUUUGUUUGAACAAAAGAGGAUUGGAUAAUGAGUUUCUUUUUUAUUUCCAUCCUUAUUUUCUAUGGACAUGAAGCUUGAAAGCCAGUCUCCUUGGGUCUCUAUCUCUCUACCUAUCCUACUACCCCUUACCUUAGAGUAAAGGUUCUGAAUGUAAAAUAAAGUUAUUGGGGAGAUUUUAAAAUUCUGAUGCCCAGGCUGUAUCCCAAAUCAAAUUCAUGGUUGGAUUUUACUAUACAGUAAGGAAUGCUUUGAUACCAUUUUGAAUGUAGAUGGCUCAGUGGCUUUCUUUGGCUUUCUCCAAGUCCUGCUCAAUCCUCCUGAGAUGCCCCGAGAAUACUGGCCUCCUGAGCAACAGUGGCAGGAUCUCAGGAGAGAGAGGGCAGCUGUGGGCUGUGUCUUUUCAUGAGUAUGCAAUAGUCACCUUUGUUUAUUAUUUCCCCACCCUGGAGACAAAUGUGUUGCUCUUUCUGUGUGAGUGUGUGUGUGAGUGUGUUUGUGUGUGUGUGUGUGUGUGUCUGUGUGUAUGUGUUUGGAAGGGGUAAGAGCAGUGUAACCACAGCUCCCAUCCCCAUGCUGCAAGGUAGAGGGAGGAGGGGUGGCUCACACGUGAGUGGGAGCACGGCUUGCGGCAGUCUCGGUAACCGGAGGGGGCGGGCAUGCUCUAAGGGAGCAACUUGGAGGAGUUCCUGUGGUCCCAAACACCCAUCCAUCUCUGCUUGAGUUCCUUCCCAGUUUUAGGUGUCAUAUGAGUGCUUAUAUCAGUAUAACUCACAUCAGCCUUAGUGCCAUGGACAGUCCCUAAAGUGAACAUCAAUUUCUCUGUCACCUGCCGUAUUUUGGGUGUACCCUAGGGGCACUUAGCACACCCGGCCAGGAGGCUCAAGCCCAUGCCUGUGGAUGGCACACAUAGAGAAUGGACUCUGUUGCUCUUGAAAAGGAUUGUUAAAAAAUCAAGUUAGCAUCUUGUUUGUCAACGUUAAGACAGUUGAUGUUUCAGAAUAAUUGACAAGCAUGGAAAUCCACUGGAAACAGGAAUGUUAUUAGGGCCACUGUGUUUGUGAGUGUUCGGAUGUGAAUUAAACCAAUCCAUUACACUUGUUUGAUGUUCAUUGGGGCUGCAAUAUUUUUAUGCAGAACCCGUGAAAGGAGACACAGUUCAGUGGUGUUUAUGAGUGACCUUGUCUUGUCCUCUGAAUUAUGGACAGGCAGCUCAGAACAUCAGCAGCUGGAGCUAACAACUGUGCUGUGUUUUCUUCAUAUUCCGUAUUCCUGAGAUGCUGCUGCCAUCUCGGGCUUAGAUUUUGCAGUAGAGAACAUGAAUGCGGCUUUUCAAAUCAGAAAUAUUUAUAGAACGAGGUCCUGAUUUAACAACGCUGAAGCGCUGGUCCUGGAAAUAAUAACACAAGUCAGGAAAGAGAACCUCUCUCCCUAUAAAACAUCCCUCCAGUGCUUGCUUUCGAGGGGACUUCUUUGUGAAAAAUUAAUGUUUCCCAGUUUGAUCAGAAGGGUUUUAAACUGAAGGUAGGGGGUGGUGGAGUAAAAUGCCAGGUGAGCCUAUGACACUGACAGGCAGUGCCUGGUUAGGUGCAGUGAUGUAGCUAACCCACCCUGGGGGAGUUCCGCUGGCCAUUCCACUUCCAGAGGGGAGGUGCUUGAUUCUCCAUUCCUUGACGUACAAGGAACCCUGAGGAAGGUGUGGACAGGAUGUCCCAGAACAAGUGAAGCCAGUCUCUGUGUCCAGCUGGGUCCUCUUUCUGGCCCUGACACAGAUGCCCCCAUGAUGCCCGCCCUCUGCAGGCUCAAGUCCGCCCAUGUGCUCGGCCACCACCUGGCCUGCAAGUCUAUCCUGGGAUGCUGAGGGGGCAGCUCUGGCAUCCGACACCCUGGAACCCAGGACAUGGAUCCCAUUUUCUCUCCAAACCCAGGCUAUGUUUACAUCUUCAAAACACAUAAGGCCGACUGUCCCUUCUUUCCUGAAAAAUGGAGCUUCAUCUCCACUCCUCUGGGCUAUAUGUCUCCUGGAGUCUCAGAGUCCUUGGGGCUUGGGGGCAUUGUGUUCAGAGCUUUGGACAUGAUUCACAGUAUAAUCCUAAGGACAAAGUUUUUCUGGCAACCUCAUGCUAAAACAUGAGAAAACAACAACACAACAACAACAACAAAACAACAACAACAUCCCAGCUCGCUCUCAUUUAAAAUCAUUCCCCAGGUCAAAUCUCCAGCAAACAUCCCUCUAGAGAAGUGAGAAUAACAUAGUCAAAAUGCCCAGGAACCUCAGCAGAUGCAGCUGCCAAUAAAGUUAAAGUAAAUGUAGGCACCGUGAAUAGAUGUCUAGCAUUCCAAAUAGAGGUGGUGAGAGUUUGCCUGGCCCUGGCCAUACUGCCCUCGAAGACAGCUUAGUGCUGGCAGCAUGUUCCGAGAGAAGCACUGACAGAGAAAGACAGAGGAGCAUGGAAGAGGAUGGGAGAGUGGCUCAUGUUCUGGCCUAGAGAAGCAAAGAUUCGUAGAGAGGGGAGGAAGAGAAUACAGUAACUGUAUUGCAACAUUUAUUAAUAAUAAUAACGACCACAUUUUUAACAUCUGCUACACCUUAGGCCGUUGGAACAUACUAACUCAUUUUAAUCCUCACAGCAACCCCAUGAGGUGGAUAUCUUUAUUCCUAUUAUACAGAUGAUGAAACUGAGGCUUGAAGAGAGCGGUUCAGUGACUCGCCCAAACUCACAUGCUUAGUGUGGGAAAGUUAAGAUUUUGCCACAUCCAAGUCCUUUUAGAUCCAAGGCCGUGUUCCUUUUUGUAAGCCUCCCUGGUGUGUGGAAGGGAGUACACUUUCUCCGUGAGAUGCCAGAUAACUGAAAGAGAACUACAGGGAAGAUGUCAGAGGAACGAGAUUCCACGCAACCUGAUAAAGAACUUGCUCAUGGUCAGAGUUGUCCAGAGAUGGGAUGAACAAGCCCAGCUGGGGCUGCAUUUCCAUCCCUCGGAGGUCUCAGGCAGAGGCUGAGGUACUAAGGUUGAGGGUACUGUGGUGGGUAUUUAAUACUAAGAGUCCCUCUUAAUACUUUCUGUUUUAUUACUCUAAAGUAAACUUCCCCAGCACACAGCUCAAAGAGAAGGCCAGUGUAAUAUGCUGGUUCAAUAUCCGACGACUUUGAAAUAAUUCGAGGGCUAACUGGCUCAUCUAGUGUGAUUUAAGCUCGUAGUUUCCCAUUCAUGUAUGUACUCACUUCUUCAAAAAACACCUUUCGGAGUGCCUCCUUCGUGCCAGGCUCUGCAGAUAUAGCUGUGAAUAACAGAUAGUCCCUGUGCAAGGAAUCUAUAGAUGGGAAUGGGGAGAGACAGGCAGACAGGUGAUUUUCAUUCUGUGUGUAAAUAUAAUUAGGAAAGUACAGGAUGCUAUGGGACACCGAAUCCAACUUUGCGGGACAGGGGAAGAAGCCUUAGGAGCUGGCGAGGCGAGGGGGUGAAGAGGAGAAGGAGGUCUGGGCACUGGAAGCGGCACACGUGGAAACGGUAAAGGCCGACGCCGGUUCAGAGCCGCAACCGCGACAGCCCCGUCGUCCACCUCAGG